GGAAAAGUCUUGAAUGUGUAUCACUGACUUGUGGAUUUUUACAUUGGACGCACAUUAUGAAUAAUGUGUUUGUAGUUAUGGUAUGAUAACAAUUAUAACAAUGUUGACAAAUAAUGUUUUCCAACACUUAUGUUGAUUUGUGGUUUAGUAAGGUUUGAUGCAUCAUUAAAAAAAUGUUUAUAGGACAUGCUGAUUGUGUAUUGUUCAGAAGCCCACGUGACCAUCUUAUGUCAAAAUUCUGAAAAUUUGGCUAACCUGUGACAUGGUAGGAUUAUUUCAUUUUACCCAGGUCUAAAUCAUUUCUUGGUUCAGAAGCUGUUCAGGAUUUAUGAUGUCAGUGGGAAAGCAGAUAGAGAAUGGAAGAGUCAUGGAAUGGAUUAUAAGUGGGU
rnacentral:lncRNA from 1 species